rnacentral:rRNA from 1 species
UCUAUCCGGGACUCUCUGGUGAUUCAUAUACUUCUCGAUCGCACGGCCUUGCGCCGGCGAUGGUUCAUUCAAAUUUCUGCCCUAUCAACUUUCGACGGCUGGGUCUUGGCCAGCCGUGGUGACAACGGGUAACGGAGGGUUAGGGCUCGACCCCGGAGAAGGAGCCUGAGAAACGGCUACUACAUCCAAGGAAGGCAGCAGGCGCGCAAAUUACCCAAUCCCGACACGGGGAGGUAGUGACAAUAAAUACUGAUACAGGGCUCUUUCGGGUCUUGUAAUUGGAAUGAGUACAAUUUAAAUCCCUUAACGAGGAACAAUUGGAGGGCAAGUCUGGUGCCAGCAGCCGCGGUAAUUCCAGCUCCAAUAGCGUAUAUUAAAGUUGUUGAGGUUAAAAAGCUCGUAGUUGAACCUUGGGCCUAGCCGGCCGGUCCGCCUCACCGCGUGCACUGGCUCGGCUGGGUCUUUCCUUCUGGAGAACCGCAUGCCCUUCACUGGGUGUGCCGGGGAACGAGAAAACUUUUAC